ACACGUAGGGGGCGAGCGUUGUUCGGAAUCAUUGGGCGUAAAGGGCGUGCAGGCGGUCGUGUAAGUCCGGCGUGAAAGACCCCGGCCCAACCGGGGGGACGCGCUGGAAACUGCAGGGCUUGAGUACAGGAGGGGAUGCCGGAAUUCCAGGUGUAGGGGUGAAAUCUGUAGAUAUCCGGAAGAACACCAAUGGCGAAGGCAGGCAUCUGGCCAUGUACUGACGCUGAGACGCGAAGGUGCGGGGAGCAAACAGGUUUAGAUACCCUGGUAGUCCGCACAGUAAACGAUGUGCACCAGGUGGCGGGGGGUCGACCCCCGGUACCGUAGCUAACGCAUUAAGUGCACCGCCUGGGGAGUAUGCUCGCAAGGGUGAA
rnacentral:rRNA from 1 species